rnacentral:misc_RNA from 1 species
AUGAGCUAACAACAAGCAAAACAUUUUCAUUCUUUCCCCUUUUAGAAUGAAGAUCCCAAACUCCCUUUUUGA